rnacentral:tRNA from 1 species
CGCCGGCAGCGCCACGCGGGAAAUGCGGCCGGCCGGGUUGACGGCCUGGGCCGCGGCGACGGCCGCGACGACGCCGAUCGGUUCGGUGCCGCCGGCGGUGU